GCCAGUGUGGUGUAAUAGUUUGAGCACAGGACUAUGAUUCUGGAGACCAGGGUUCGAAUCCCUGACCUCAGGCA